rnacentral:rRNA from 1 species
AUUGAACGCUGGCGGCAUGCCUUACACAUGCAAGUCGAACGGUAACAGGUCUUCGGAUGCUGACGAGUGGCGAACGGGUGAGUAAUACAUCGGAACGUGCCCGAUCGUGGGGGAUAACGAAGCGAAAGCUUUGCUAAUACCGCAUAAGAUCUACGGAUGAAAGCAGGGGACCGCAAGGCCUUGCGCGAACGGAGCGGCCGAUGGCAGAUUAGGUAGGUGGUGGGAUAAAAGCUUACCAAGCCGACGAUCUGUAGCUGGUCUGAGAGGACGACCAGCCACACUGGGACUGAGACACGGCCCAGACUCCUACGGGAGGCAGCAGUGGGGAAUUUUGGACAAUGGGCGAAAGCCUGAUCCAGCCAUGCCGCGUGCAGGAUGAAGGCCUUCGGGUUGUAAUCUGCUUUUGUACGGAACGAAAAGACUCUUUCUAAUAAAGAGGGUCCAUGACGGUACCGUAAGAAUAAGCACCGGCUAACUACGUGCCAGCCGCCGCAGUAACAC